rnacentral:rRNA from 1 species
AUGGAAGACAACUGGUUAAUCCAGAAUGUAAGGGGGCUCAACAACCCGGCCCGUAGGAAGGUAGUCAAGGAUGUAGUGUAUCAAAACAGUGUAUCUUUAGUGUGUUUGCAAGAGACGAAGUUGUCUAUCAUGGAUGCGGCAACUGUGCAACAGUGUUGCGGGGCUGAAUUUUUGGAGUUUGCCUUCCUGCCAGCCGAUGGAACGCGGGGUGGGGUGUUGCUGGCCUGGAAGGGCGAUCACUAUACUUUUCCCAAUAUUUCGGUGCACCAACACUUCAUCGCGGCUCAUGGCACAAACUCUGCCGGGCAGCCUGUUGGACUAAUCUCCAUCUACGGACCACAAGGAACUGAUGACAAAAUAUCCUUCCUGCAAGAUCUAAGGCUUGUGCUACAGGGGGGCUUCCCGGCGGGCACACCGGUAGCCAUGGUGGGCGACUUUAACUUGAUUGCUCGGGCGGCCGACAAAAGCAACUAG